UACGUAGGUGGCAAGCGUUGUCCGGAUUUACUGGGCGUAAAGGGCGUGCAGGCGGUCUGUUAAGUGCAGGGUGAAAGCUCCCGGCUCAACUGGGAGAGGUCCUUGCAUACUGGCGAACUGGAGUGUGGCAGAGGGGGGGUGGAAUUCCGCGUGUAGCAGUGAAAUGCGUAGAGAUGCGGAGGAACACCGAUGGCGAAGGCAGCCCCCUGGGCUAACACUGACGCUCAGGCACGAAAGCGUGGGGAGCAAACAGG
rnacentral:rRNA from 1 species